GAUGAAGAACGCAGCAAAAUGCGAUAAGUAAUGUGAAUUGCAGAAUUCAGUGAAUCAUCGAAUCUUUGAACGCACAUUGUGCCCGCUGGUAUUCCGGCGGGCAUGCCUGUUCGAGCGUCAUUUCAACCCUCAAGCCCCCGGGUUUGGUGUUGGGGAUCGGCUCUGCCCUUCUGGGCGGUGCCGCCCCCGAAAUACAUUGGCGGUCUCGCUGCAGCCUCCAUUGCGUAGUAGCUAACACCUCGCAACUGGAACGCGGCGCGGCCAUGCCGUAAAACCCCAACUUCUGAAUGUUGACCUCGGAUCAGGUAGGAAUACCCGCUGAACUUAAGCAUAUCAAUAAGCGGAGGA
rnacentral:misc_RNA from 1 species